rnacentral:rRNA from 1 species
AUUCCAGCUCCAAUAGCGUAUAUUAAAGUUGUUGCAGUUAGAACGCUCGUAGUCGGAUUUCGGGGCAGUCCGACCGGUCUGCCGAUGGGUAUGUACUGGUUGGAGUGUCCUUUUUGCCGGAGACCGUGCCUACUCUUAACUGAGCGGGGGCGGGAGACGGCACUUUUACUUUGAAAAAAUCAGAGUGUUUCAAGCAGGCAGCUCGCUCUUGCAUGGAUUAGCAUGGGAUAAUGAAAUAGGACUUUGGUGCUAUUUUGUUGGUUUCGAACACCGAAGUAAUGAUGAGAAGGGACAGUCAGGGGCACUCGUAUUCCGCAGAGAGAGGUGAAAUUCUCAGACCCGCGGAAGACGAACCACUGCGAAAGCAUUUGCCAGGGAUGUUUUCAUUG